AGAACAGUCAUUUCCCUUCCGGUCCAUACAAACACAGACACACAUGUGCUUACAUCUCUCAGGACCAGUCAUAAUCUGACAUCAUCUUGACAGCCCUUUAUCACUCACCCUACACAGGCGAUAGUAAUUGGACCAAUGGCCCAGGCAUCUUCCCACAUAAUAUAGUCCUCAGGAAGGUCGUAACAGGAUGUCAGGUCAUCAGUGGGCCACUGGCCAGGAGCACAGGGCGAGCAGGUGAACUCAUCAGCCAGAUAUUCAUGAGGCUCACAGGCUGUACAGAUCCAGCAGCAGUACUCACCUGGGAAACAGGAAUAUGAACAGCAGAGAGUGACAGUCUGAGAUUUUUCAAAAUGCACUGCUGCUUGGGAUCGCUGCACUGUGAGGUGGGCACCACCUCUCUUGGCCAGUGGAUCAGAUCGCUGCUCAGACUUAGAAUCUCUGCCCAUUCACCCACCGGCACGUAACCGUAGCGAUCGGCAGAGCGCUGGUAGCUGAAGAUGUUGUAUCGUCCCACGCCGUCCCCCUGGGAAUCGAACUUCACUGCUGUCUCGCUGCCGGGUGGAGAGAAAGGGGCUGGAGGGGAUUCAGUCCCCGCGGACGAAGGCGCUGCCUGGGCCACGGACCAACAGGCCACAGGGGAACAGCGGACAGAUAGGGUUGAGAGAAGGAAGUCGGACAUGGGAGAGAAAUGUAUAGGAUGAAAGGUGCGGCAGCAGAGAGCUGAGGCUUGACUGAAAGAAAGGUGGUGAGAUAGAGGAGACAAAAGAAAGAAACGGCAGGCCAAAGGCAGGAGGUGCUAGGAGGGAGGAUGAGCCAAGAGACAAGAUAAGGGCAAAGAAAGGAGAGAAGUGACAAGGGAGAAGAGGGAGAAGAAUACUAGGAAUAAGAGAGGAGAUAGCAUAAGAGAAACCCAAGAAACAGAUGUGACGGCAAUGGAGAUAUGGGUGAACGAGGGAAAGCCUUUGGAUGGAGGAAUCAAUAGAGAAAAGGUGAAGUAUGGAUGAUGGGAUGAGCAAAGUGGAGGAACAGACCGGCGCAGAGAGGCGGUGGAGGCAGGAGAGCAACCUUGUGAAGUCUGAGUGGGAUGUGCUGUUUUUGAAUGUAGAGAGAGUAGGACACUUUCUGGGUGAGAAAGAGAACGGAGACAGAGAGAGAUAUAGAGAGAUAGGGUGACGAAGAGUGAGAGAAAGAGAGAUAGAAAGACAGAGGGUGACAGAGACAGAGAGACAGAGGGAAAGAGUGAAGAGAAAAUAAGGGAGAGAAGGAGUGAAGGUUGUUCUCUAGCAUCUAAACGUUGCAGUAAGCUCUCUGCUCAAUAUGGCCCUGAAGGCACACCGCCUCUGCUAAC